rnacentral:SRP_RNA from 1 species
CUGUGACCGCCUUUGCGCGGGGCGCACGGAGGGCUGGGAGCGGCCGCGCGCCUCUGCCGCUAUGGUGGUCGUCGAUGCCGAUCCGCCCGUACGCGGGUGUGCCGGGCCGCGCGCCGGGGGAGCCCGGCGCCGCGGAUCCCGGAUGAGUCUGGGGGACCGCCCAGGCGGGACACCGAGCAGG